GAUGAACGCUGGCGGCGUGCCUAAUACAUGCAAGUCGAGCGAACAGACGCGGAGCUUGCUCCUCUGACGUUAGCGGCGGACGGGUGAGUAACACGUGGAUAACCUACCUAUAAGACUGGGAUAACUUCGGGAAACCGGAGCUAAUACCGGAUAAUAUAUUGAACCGCAUGGUUCAAUAGUGAAAGACGGUUUUGCUGUCACUUAUAGAUGGAUCCGCGCCGCAUUAGCUAGUUGGUAAGGUAACGGCUUACCAAGGCGACGAUGCGUAGCCGACCUGAGAGGGUGAUCGGCCACACUAGAACGGAGACACGGUCCAGGCUCCUACGGGAGGCAGCAGUAGGGAAUCUUCCGCAAUGGGCGAAAGCCUGACGGAGCAACGCCGCGUGAGAGAUGAAGGUCUUCGGAGCGUAAAACUCUGUUAUUAGGGAAGAACAAAUGUGUAAGUAACUAUGCACGUCUUGACGGUACCUAAUCAGAAAGCCACGGCUAACUACGUG
rnacentral:rRNA from 1 species